rnacentral:rRNA from 1 species
UAGGAAUUUUGCGCAAUGGGCGAAAGCCUGACGCAGCAACGCCGCGUGAGUGAUGAAGGCCUUCGGGUCGUAAAACUCUUUUAGUCGGAACGAAAAAAAUGACGGUACCGACAGAAAAAGCACCGGCUAACCCUGUGCCAGCAGCCGCGGUAAUACAGGGGGUGCAAGCGUUACUCGGAAUUAUUGGGCGUAAAGAGCGUGUAGGCGGUCUGUUAAGUCUGGUGUGAAAUCCCUGGGCUCAAUCCAGGAAGUGCAUUGGAUACUGGCAGACUAGAGUGCAGGAGAGGUGAGCGGAAUUCCCGGUGUAGAGGUGAAAUUCGUAGAUAUCGGGAGGAACAACAGAGGCGAAGGCGGCUCACUGGACUGAUACUGACGCUAAGGCGCGAAAGCGUGGGGAGCAAAC